rnacentral:piRNA from 1 species
UGCAGGUGACAUCAGAGUCCAGAAGAG